GUGUCAGCCGCCGCGGUAAUACGGAGGGUGCAAGCGUUAUCCGGAUUUACUGGGUUUAAAGGGUGUGUAGGCGGACUUUUAAGUCAGCGGUGAAAUCUCCGGGCUCAACCCGGAAACUGCCAUUGAUACUAUUGGUCUUGAAUGUUGUUGAGGUGGGCGGAACGGGUCAUGUAGCGGUGAAAUGCAUAGAUAUGACCCGGAACACCGAUUGCGUAGGCAGCCCACUAAGCAACGAUUGACGCUGAGGCACGAAAGCGUGGGGAUCAAACAGGAUUAGAUACCCUCGUAGUCC
rnacentral:rRNA from 1 species